rnacentral:sRNA from 1 species
GCUGGGCAUGGUGACGCACACCUGUCAUCCCAGCAGCUCAGGAGGCUGAGGCAGGAGGAUCCCAAGUUCAAAUCCAGCCUCAGCAAGAGUGAGGCCCUAAGCAGCUCAGUGAGACCCUGUCUCUA